rnacentral:rRNA from 1 species
UGGGGAAUAUUGCACAAUGGGCGCAAGCCUGAUGCAGCCAUGCCGCGUGUAUGAAGAAGGCCUUCGGGUUGUAAAGUACUUUCAGCGAGGAGGAAGGCGUUGUGGUUAAUAACCGCAACGAUUGACGUUACUCGCAGAAGAAGCACCGGCUAACUCCGUGCCAGCAGCCGCGGUAAUACGGAGGGUGCAAGCGUUAAUCGGAAUUACUGGGCGUAAAGCGCACGCAGGCGGUCUGUCAAGUCGGAUGUGAAAUCCCCGGGCUCAACCUGGGAACUGCAUCCGAAACUGGUAGGCUAGAGUCUUGUAGAGGGGGGUAGAAUUCCAGGUGUAGCGGUGAAAUGCGUAGAGAUCUGGAGGAAUACCGGUGGCGAAGGCGGCCCCCUGGACAAAGACUGACGCUCAGGUGCGAAAGCGUGGGGAGCAAACA